AAGAGUCCCUGGCACCUGCCACAGCUGGGUCCCCUCAGGAAAGAUCGGGCCUUGGAGGCGACAGCUGAAUCACCUCUGGUUAUCCCUGAGGAGCGCUGGAGCAAGGAUUAUCCUUUGUGAUCCCACGCUGCUGGUACAACAACGUGAACUGAGGAGCUCCCAUCGCCUUCCCUGCCCAGUUUUCCUUCCCUUAGACCAUAGCAGCCAUCACAAGGGGACAGUCCAAACUAGAGGCUGGCCCUUGUCCUGCCUCGUGUGACAUCCCAAGGCAUGGGGAUGGGAAAAUGGGGGCUGAAAGUCAGUCUCUGUAGGAAGCAAAAAAAGGAGGGAGUUUCCUCUUGCCUCUCUUGUUCUUGGGCUUCUGAUGAAUAGCAAGAGGGGACAGGGGAGAGAGGAGGACUGUGACUGCUCCUGAGCCUCAGAGAUCCUGGUGACUCAAGGAUUUCCUGCCCUACAAGAGCCUGUCUGGCUUGAGGGAAUGAAAGAGGCUCACAGGGGUAGCACAGAGCUGCUCUGGGCUUUUGGGGUGUACAAUGAGGGUGUGGUGUGCACCUCAAAUGCCAGACUUCCUUAGGUUUUUGUCUUCCUGCCAGCUGGGAUAGCCUCCAUGGACAUGUCUGGAUCUGAGGAGCUGGCUGGGCACCUGCAUGAAGCCACUAGAAGAAUAUAAAAUGGCUUUCAUCAAGGCACACCAGAGAAAAUACUCCUUAGUCAUUUUUAUAGCAGGCCUUGAAGGCUUUGACUGGAGUGAUUUGGUUAAAAAUAGAUUUGUUUCUGUUGGAAUUUGGUGGAAAAGCUGGGCUACCAUAUUAAUGAAGCAGAGAACUGAGCCUGCUAGACACAAGCCUGCCUUGGCUGCUCUGGAGAAACUAAAGAAACACCAAGCAUUGCUAACAGUUAUUUUGAAAUUCUACCUUCUCCCUGUGCUUCUCCUUCUCAAUCUGCUGCAGGUCUGGCAGGUGAGAUGGGUGAUUAGAGGGGCGGUGCCACCCACAGCUCAUUAGGCUGUGGAUCAAAUCCUUUAAGCCUGUGUGCCUCCACUAAUUUCUGUGCUCACUUAUGCCAGCUGGGAUGUGUGGCUAACCCCUGAUCUGUGCCAAGCCAGGGUCACAGAAGGACACAGCACUUCAUCACAGAGACAGCCACGUGUCGGGAGAAGAUUCAAGCAUUGUCUUUAAAUCUGCACACCCUGAGGGAAAAAAAAGACAUUUAAAAACCA